CUGACUACUACUGAUACUACUACUAAUAUUACUACUACGACUGACAUUGAAGAAACCUGGUACAUUAGCAAAGCUUUGUAUUUAAGGAUAGGAUAGGAAAAUCUAUUGUCCUACUGCAAAAAAGUUUGACAGUCAAUAGGGUUAAAAUUAUAGGUAAUUAUAGGUAAACAUUUAUUAAUUAAAUUCCUUCCCUUUGGGGCUUUUGAUGAGUCAUUAUACCUUCCAGUAGUUAUUCAGCCCAUGGAUAAUGCAUUAUGAAGUGUAAAAUAUAUUGAUAUCUGAGAUUUUGCAUACUUUACUUAAAUGGUGGAGGUGCAUGUGCAGGCUUGACAAAGUGAAUUGUCCCUUUGCCUGUAAUUUUUAAUUGUACAUAUUUUUGAUAGGAAUUUUUAUUGCAUUUGUUGCACUCCACCAUCACUUAUAUUAAUGGUUAAGGCCAAUUGAACUCUGCCAAGCUUGUUUCCUACUGGAGACUCAAGAAUUUUCUGUUUGCGCGUCAUGUUGGGAGGCCUCCCAGCAGGGGGAUUUAACCCACUCCUGCAAAAAACAAUGCGUCACUCGAGAAGGGCCGUCAAAUACUCACUGCAAUGACAAUUUGCACAGUUUCACACAUGGUAUUAUCAUCACUUGGUAGGCGGGGGUACAAGAUAGAAGCGCGUUUGUGUUUCCUGGGAGGAAGCAAACUUGGCAGACGGACAAUUUUUAUUUAUUUUUUACUUUUUUACCAUCUAUUGGUGGUUAGGUUAUCGAUGAUAAUCAAGAGUAUCGGGUUGAAUCCAACUUUUACUAUCUUCUUCAGUUACCUGCUUUUGAUGCAGUAUCAUUUGAAGCAUUACUGUGGGCUGAAUUUCAAAGGUCUAGAUAGUCAAUAGUAGUUUUUAAUAGAAUAUCACUCCAAUAUUUAUGGAAGUUUGAUUUAAAAAAAAUUUAAAACUUAUUUUCCCAUGUUGAAGUUUGUAGUGCAGAUAAAUGGAUUUAUUUUCCCCCCAGUAUUCGUCAGGGAUGCCCCCCUAAAGCCUAUUUGUACCACGUUGGCUGUUUGACAACCUUAGCAGCAUACUUUAUAAUCCUAUAUGUUAAAUUAAAAAAAGUCAUAGGGAAUUCAGCUUUUAUUUUAACAGUGUAGCUAUAGGGAUGGCAGAGGUCGGGGUGCGAUGGCAUCCAGCUAUGGGCCCAGGCUGAAUUCCACCCAAGGCUGCUAUGGUAAGAAAGCCUGCAUCAUAUACACAGGUGAGCUUCUGGUGCACUGGCAUGAAAAAUUCCAAGAAAAAUUGUAAAUGCCUGAUUUUUCUCUUUGCUGAAUUGGUGCAGAGCACACGGCCUGAUGGUGAUAGAGACCAUGGAAGGUGAUGGAGGCCAUGGAAGGUUCCGGUUCCUCUGCCACCAGGAAAAUGUACUUGGGAGGUCAUGGAGCCCAUGGAAGGUUCUGGUUCCUCUGCCACUAGGAAAAUCUACUUGGAACCUUGUGACCCAGAGAUGCCCCGUCCACAUUGCAGUGUCGAAGCCAAGCGGUACUCCUCCUGUCUAGAUGAUACCCCUUUGCCAAGGGAUGUCUUCAGAUUUCAACCUUUUGGGAGCUGUGAGACCUGAACUUGUCGAGCCCUGCACACUAUCUUAUAUGCAGACAUCGCUUCUGAACCACUGCUGCAUGUCGGCAAACCACCCGACUUGAUAAACUGUUCUACAGACUUGAACACAAACCCCAAGGCUCAUUCUGCACACCCCACUCUUAUCACUCAACAUUAUGCUCACCCAACAUCAUGCUCUACCAAAAUCUGGCACCACCACUGGACUGACAAAAAGCAGACAACUUGAAAUGGUUGAUCCUAAUUUGCUUAAAUGUUUGAACAAACUACUUGAGGAUGUAUAAUGCAAUCCUUCGGUUUGUGACGCGUUUGAUUGUGUCCAAUGGUUCACAAACUGUUGGGUUUUGUCCAUAGAAACAUGCAUUCGCUCUUGCAUGCCCUAUGCUCUUGCAUAUUUGUACAUUUGAGAAAAAUCGGUUGGGGUUUAAUGAGCUGGGUCUCCUUAGCAUUACAGAGAAUGAGGUCAACAAGUCGACUCAAUAGAUGGUAAGGAUUUUAUCCUUCCCCUUAUUCUCUGUAUGUGAGGAAAUCUGGCCAUGAAUCCUUUCUGAAUUGUGUACCAUGGUUGCGCAGUUUCCAAAACUAGACUUGGAUCCAUCUAGUUUUGUGAAUCAGCUCACCAAUGGUAUGCAACAAGUCCCCAUUAUGGAGA